AGGAUAGUAGUUAAGCAUAACAUUUGGGUUGCAUUCAAAAAGUACUGAUAUUCUAGUCUAUCUU
rnacentral:tRNA from 1 species